AUGUGCUCCAAGGCGGCGCCUUCAAGAAGGGUACGACACCGGAGCGCCGCCACCGCCCAAUCCAAAGAUCAGAGUUUCCCCUGGAGCCGCAUGACGGGCAAUGAGACGCCUUCAAGAAGGGAACGAUCUACACUGCCACCGGUCCGUCGGAAGAUAGAACAGGUUUUCACCUCGGCCAACACUCACCGCCACCGAACGCCACACCCCGGCAACCACGCCGCCCACACGGCCAUGGUGACCGGGCAACACCAAGGCACGGGCUCCGCCCAAGAGCACCGUGCUACCACCACCAGGGCCGCCGCCCCGGCAUCCAAGACCUUGACACCAUCUCACCCGAGACCCACCGCAACCCCAACGAAAGAGACGAGUGGAAAGGUCCCACCUUUCGCACCCCUGGGCGACCCCAGCGUCGAGGCCCAAUAG
rnacentral:rRNA from 1 species